rnacentral:rRNA from 1 species
AGAGGCCCUAGUUGAUUCACUCGGCGUAAAGAGUGGUUAUGGAGAAUAAAAUACUAAAGCCGAAGGCCCCUUAGGCCGUCAUACGCACCUAGAGGCCCGAAUUAUAGACACGAAAGUAGCUUUACCCCUUCCCACCAGAACCCACGACAGCUGGGACACAAACUGGGAUUAGAUACCCCACUAUGCCCCGCCGUAAACUUAGAUAUUCCAGUACAACAAAUAUCCGCCAGGGGACUACGAGCGCCA